UGGGGAAUAUUGCACAAUGGAGGGAACUCUGAUGCAGCGACGCCGCGUGAGUGAUGAAGGAAUUCGUUUCGUAAAACUCUGUUCUAUGGGAAGAAAAGGACUGUACCAUAGGAGAAAGCUCCGGCUAAAUACGUGCCAGCAGCCGCGGUAAUACGUAUGGAGCGAGCGUUGUCCGGAAUUAUUGGGCGUAAAGGGUGCGCAGGCGGCUUUACAAGUUGGAUGUGAAAUAUUGUGGCUCAACCACAAACGUGCAUCCAAAACUGCAAAGCUUGAGUUAAGGAGAGGUAAGUGGAAUUCCUGGUGUAGCGGUGGAAUGCGUAGAUAUCAGGAGGAAUACCGGUGGCGAAGGCGACUUACUGGACUUAAACUGACGCUCAGGCACGAAAGCGCGGGGAGCAAACAGG
rnacentral:rRNA from 1 species